GACGAACGCUGGCGGCAGGCCUAACACAUGCAAGUCGAGCGAGUGGCGGACGGGUGAGUAAUGUCUGGGAAACUGCCUGAUGGAGGGGGAUAACUACUGGAAACGGUAGCUAAUACCGCAUACCAUCAGAUGUGCCCAGAAGGGUUUAGCUAGUAGGGGGGGUAAUGGCUCACCUAGGCGACGAUCCCUAGCUGGUCUGAGAGGAUGACGAGCCAAACUGGAACUGAGACACGGUCCAGACUACUACGGGAGGCAGCAGUGGGGAAUAUUGCACAAUGGGCGCAAGCCUGAUGCAGCCAUGCCGCGGGUAUGAAGAAGGCCUUCGGGUUGUAAAGCACGUUCAGCGGGGAGGCGUUACCCGCAGAAGAAGCACCGGCUAACUCCGUGCCAGCAGCCGCGGUAAUUC
rnacentral:rRNA from 1 species